ensembl:lncRNA
CCUCCGCGCACCUAGCCAGGCUCAUCACUAUGGAAACCGGAGCAGUCUCUCCACCCACCUCAUGGACAAACUGCUACACAGGAUGUUCCCUCUGCAGAGAGUGCACUUCCCCAUUCUUACCCUGUCAAAUGCAUCCUUCAAGAUCCAGUUCUCUGAAGAAACUUCUGCUCUGUCCCGUUUUGCUGGCCAUAAACCUCUUCUUCCUCUGCACUCACAUCCGAUCCAUUUGUCACAAGAAAGCUGCCAGGGUGAAGGAGACAAGAGUGUGAUCCCUGGUCUGGGAAGAUCCCACAUGCUGGGGAGCAACUAAGUCCAUGAGCCACAACUACU